CUCAUGUUGCAGAUUAAGCUGUUCCAAAGCUACACGGCUUAAGCUAACAUUUGGUUAUACCUUACAGAUGUGUGUGCAGGAAGCCAGGCUGGGGGCGGUCUGCUAAUGAUAGUGCAGCUGCACAUGGUAUAGAACCGCUUUGGUGGCUUUCAUCUGACAUCUGGAGCCUCCAGGAGACUGAGAGAGAAAACUCCUGGAAGGAGGCUGUGCCUGCGAAAACUGAUGGACUGAUUAAAACUGCGGUCAUGUGUGGAGCGACUGGAAUGUUACAGAAUUGCAGCAAAUGUACCAAGAAUUCGGAGACAAGAGGGCUCUUUGCUUGGAAGCCAUCAGGAAAUCUUCUGAGGGGGUUCAGAAGAAUAACAUUGGCCUGGGCCUUCCUUUGUGAUCCACCCUCCAGUGGGGCGGAUACCUGACACGUGUCUCAAUGAAUUACUUUCUUACAA